GAUGAACGCUGGCGGCGUGCCUAAUACAUGCAAGUCGAGCGAACGGACGAGAAGCUUGCUUUUCUGAUGUUAGCGGCGGACGGGUGAGUAACACGUGGAUAACCUACCUAUAAGACUGGGAUAACUUCGGGAAACCGGAGCUAAUACCGGAUAAUAUUUUGAACCGCAUGGUUCAAAAGUUAAAGACGGUCUUGCUGUCACUUAUAGAUGGAUCCGCGCUGCAUUAGCUAGUUGGUAAGGUAACGGCUUACCAAGGCAACGAUGCAUAGCCGACCUGAGAGGGUGAUCGGCCACACUGGAACUGAGACACGGUCCAGACUCCUACGGGAGGCAGCAGUAGGGAAUCUUCCGCAAUGGGCGAAAGCCUGACGGAGCAACGCCGCGUGAGUGAUGAAGGUCUUCGGAUCGUAAAACUCUGUUAUUAGGGAAGAACAUAUGUGUAAGUAACUGUGCACAUCUUGACGGUACCUAAUCAGAAAGCAACGGCUAACUACGUG
rnacentral:rRNA from 1 species